GACGAACGCUGGCGGCGUGCUUAACACAUGCAAGUCGAACGGAAAGGCCUGUCCUUCCUUGUGUUGGACGGGUACUCGAGUGGCGAACGGGUGAGUAACACGUGAGUGAUCUGCCCCCAACUUGGGUAUAAGCCUGGGAAACUGGGUCUAAUUCCCGAUAGGACUGCAGGGUGGUGCCUGUGGUGGAAAACGAUUUUCUAGUGGUUGGGGAUGAGCUCGCGGCCUAUCAGCUUGUUGGUGGGGUAAUGGCCUACCAAGGCGGCGACGGGUAGCCGGCCUGAGAGGGUGGACGGCCACAUUGGGACUGAGAUACGGCCCAGACUCCUACGGGAGGCAGCAGUGGGGAAUAGUGCACAAUGGGCGGAAGCCUGAUGCAGCGACGCCGCGUGGGGGAUGACGGCCUUCGGGUGGUAAACUCCUUUCGACCGCGAGGAAGCCGCCUGGUUGGAAGGGUGGUGACGGUAGUGGUAGAAGAAGCACCGGCUAACUACGUG
rnacentral:rRNA from 1 species